rnacentral:rRNA from 1 species
CCUACGGGGGGCUGCAGUGGGGAAUAUUGCACAAUGGGCGCAAGCCUGAUGCAGCAACGCCGCGUGAGGGAAGAAGGCCUUCGGGUUGUAAACCUCUUUUAGCAGGGACGAAGCGAAGUGACGGUACCUGCAGAAGAAGCACCGGCUAACUACGUGCCAGCAGCCGCGGUAAUACGUAGGGUGCAAGCGUUGUCCGGAAUUAUUGGGCGUAAAGAGCUCGUAGGCGGUUUGUCGCGUCUGCUGUGAAAACUGGAAGCUCAACUUCCAGCCUGCAGUGGGUACGGGCAGACUAGAGUGCGGUAGGGGAGAACGGAAUUCCUGGUGUAGCGGUGGAAUGCGCAGAUAUCAGGAGGAACACCGAUGGCGAAGGCAGGUCUCUGGGCCGUUACUGACGCUGAGGAGCGAAAGCGUGGGGAGCGAACAGGAUUAGAUACCCUUGUAGUC